UAACCUGCUAAAUAGCCCGUAUUGCUUUGGCAGUACGCUGGCUUCUUAGAGGGACUAUCGGCUCAAGCCGAUGGAAGCUUGAGGCAAUAACAGGUCUGUGAUGCCCUUAGAUGUUCUGGGCCGCACGCGCGCUACACUGUCUACCGCAACGAGCCUCCCCCUGACCGAGAGGUCCGGGUAAUCUUUUGAGUGGUAGACGUGCUGGGGAUCGACCAUUGCAACUAUUGGUCGUCAACGAGGAAUUUCUAGUAGGCGCAGGUCACCAGCCUGCGCCGACUGCGUCCCUGCCCUUUGUACACACCGCCCGUCGCU
rnacentral:rRNA from 1 species